rnacentral:rRNA from 1 species
AAUCAACGCUGGCGGCGUGCCUAACACAUGCAAGUCGCACGAGAAAGGGUCUUCGGAUCUGAGUAAAGUGGCGCACGGGUGAGUAACACGUGAAUUAUCUACCUUUGAGUGGGGAAUAACUUCGGGAAACCGAGGCUAAUACCGCAUAAUAUCUACGGAUCAAAGCAGUAAUGCGCUUGAAGAGGAGUUCGCGGCAGAUUAGUUAGUUGGCGGGGUAAUGGCCCACCAAGACGAUGAUCUGUAUCCGGCCUGAGAGGGCGCACGGACACACUGGAACUGAAACACGGUCCAGACUCCUACGGGAGGCAGCAGUGGGGAAUUUUGUGCAAUGGGGGAAACCCUGACGCAGCAACGCCGCGUGGAGGAUGAAGUCUCUUGGGACGUAAACUCCUUUCGAUAGGGAAGAUUAUGACGGUACCUAUAGAAGAAGUCCCGGCUAACUUCGUGCCAGCCGCCGCAGUAA